GUAUGGCCGUCAUUGCAUAAUGCAUAGCGUACAGCUGACUGGACUUCGUGGCAUUUGUAGCCACGUUGUUCAUUUAAAAUAGCAAGUACUGUGUAUUUUUGUCUUGAAUAAGUCAAACAAUGCUGUGCUUUUAGCUGAACUUUCGAAGCCAAGAAGAGAGGGAAGCAGCAAGAAGAAGAAUAUGCCUGAUGAACUUCUGCAGAGCAAACUGGCAGAACACAAAAGCAACUGCAUUAUGUGAAAAUCACUUCACUCCAGACCAGUUUGAAACCAACAGAGCUUGUGGAGUGGUAAAACUUAAACCAAAUGCUGUGACAACCAUUUUUUGUCAUCAUAAGCCACCAGUGGGAUGUAAAGCUCCUUCUGAGAGAAACCUGUUGGCCCACUAGAGAAACGAACUGAGGAUACUGAAUGGAGAGCCUUCGAAUGUGACCAGUGACAUCAGUCCUCCAGAGAACCUGGACGCAACAGGAGAUGAAGUCACCACUCUGAAGAACCUAGUACAACAGCUUCGGGCUGAAAUUUUAGCUUUGAAGAGAAAACUCAACUUCUCUCAGAAAGGGGGGAGACAAGAGUGUGUUUAGAAUAAGACAACUUUCUUGCCAGCCUGCAUGGUUUAUUUGGUGCAGAUCUGUUUGCAGUAUUAACAAAGGGGACAUGUAAAGGUAGCAAAUGGUCAGUGGAAUCACUCCAGAAAGGGCUGAGAAUUAAGACUAGCUUGUGGUAGUACGUGGUAGAAAAUAAAUUUCCGUUUCCUUCAGACAGAACCUCGAGAUGUUUGCUACAGAAUGUACAAUUUAGACCUGGUAUACUGAGGGAGCUAAUGAGUUUUCCUGAAAGUUAAGUUUGACCUCAUGCUGCCGGAUGAAAAAUGUGCUCCUUUCCUCAUGGAUGAGGGUCGUAUCAUUCCAUCAUUGGAAUAUGAUUGGAGCAUUAGUUUUUAUGCUGGGUGGUAUUACCUGAAAAUGGAAACAAACAAUAGGUUACCAUUACACAGGCCAUCAUUUUCCAGUUCUCAUGUCAAAAACAUCACUAUAAGCAUUUAGUGAAUCUGAGGCACUCGGUAUCGAUGUUCACUACAUCGUGUCAGAUAUGGGAGGGCAAAAUUAAGCUGUAUGGUAUUUUGAAAAUAUGAGGAACCACUUAGUCACCAGGCAAUCAGACUUCCUUUCACAAAAUGUUGUCGAGGAACGAUAUCUACCUUGUAAUGAGGUACAUAUAAAUCGUGUAAAACAGUUGCUUGAGAUAGACAAUGGUUUAAGUCUUAAACUUGCACCACAACUGCAUGAGAGGUGUUUGAUGCCAAACCUUUAUCAUAAAAUGAAAGUUGGCUUGGCUACUGCCCUAAUUAACAGCCAGACUGCAGCAGCCAUUGAGUAUGGUGUCAGGACAGAGAAACUGCAGGAAAAUGCUUUAACCACAGCACGGUUUCUCAAGCACGUUCAUAAGUGGUUUCGACUCAUGACAUGUAGAGCUCCAGUUAUGGCUCUGAGUCGCUCUGAUGAACAAACAUACAGUGAGGCUCUCUGUCAUCUGGAGGACACUCUGUGUUUAUUUGAAAACUUGAAAAUUGGCCUGAAGGGUGCCUGGAAACCAGUUCAGUCUUUGUAGUUUUGUCAACUGUAGGUAUUUUGGAAUUGCAGGACACAUUCGUGAAUGAGAAGAAUUUUAAAUUUCUGCUAACAAGUAGAUUUGCACAAGAUGCUUUAGGAAAUCUGUUUUCAAUGGUCUUCUUCAAAAAUCCAGUAUCAGCACCAUCAGAACUGAAAACAGCACUGAUGAUUAUUACUCUUUCUUAAUUCUUUACUUAUACCACUGAUAAUGAAAAUUAAGACAGUAGAUUCCUGGCAGAAUUAGUGGGGUAAUUUGUAAGUGAAGAUGGGGAUAAGUGUGCCGAGGAAGUUGACGAGCCACUUGUAACAUGGUGUGUGAUGAUGAGCACCAGUCUCUCUACUAUUUAUGUUGUCACAAUGUUAGGCAAGCUACGGAGCGCCAUGCACUUUGAGAGGAGAGCCUAAUCGCAUCCAAAGAAAAUCCCUGUACGUCUGUGAACGUGCUUUUACAUCUGAAGUCCUUUAUAGAUGCCUCACUUAUUCAGCCACCAAGUGAGGUUUUCAGUGUAUUGCAAAUGGCAAAGGUUCAUUUGAGAAGCAACAAGAAGAAGUUACUCACAAGUGAAUUUUUGGUCUCUGAUAUAGCCACUUCUGUGUUUGCAUCAGUGGAGGAGAAAGCAGUUUUCCUAUCCUGCCACAGUGUACAGAAGAAAAUAAUUCACUUUUUUGGCAACAAGAGUACAUAUGCUUCUAAAUGAGGCAAAUAAAAGAUACCAGGGUGUAGUGACACAGGGCAGUAGAAGCAUGGCUAUGAGAAAAUUAUUGCAGAAUCUGUGACUUCCAAAAUCACGUUUUAGUAAGUAAUUUGGAAAAUUGACAUUCAAACUUCAUUAGGUUAUCUUUAAUAUCUUGAGGCACAAAAUCUGUGGUAACAUUUUCUCUUCAAAUAAUCUCAUUUCUGUUUGACUUACAGAGAUUUUUAUAAAAUUUUUGUUCCAUGUUUCUUUCUGAAUGUGGGAUGUUAUUAUUAUCUCGUGUAAUAUUUGUUACAUUUUGCAAGCAGACUCUGUCCCUGUCAAGGGUUAAGAAUGAUACAUAGAUAAAUAAAAACUUCAUCCUUCAACCUGUGUACAUAUUAGACAUUUGUGCUUUACCAUCACCUUUGUUUCUUCCUUGUGCUUCAUUUGCUUUCUUUAAUUUGUUUCUCUUGGUUUUAAUAGGCUUUUAUACAUACAUAUGAAGACAGUAACUGUUCUUGAAAGAACAGAAUACUGUUGAUGACCGUGCAGCUAUUCCCUGGAUUAAAUGAUGACUAACUGAAAACCUCAGCUGCCGACAGGUGUUGUUGAUAUACCUCGAUGUGGACAGCUGAAAAUGUGUGCCCCAACCAGCACAGUUACUGUCUUCAUAUAUAUAGUUAAAGGCUACCCACCUAUUGACCUUCAUCUGUGUGAAUGCGUUGCCCAAACUCAUACGGGAAUCGCCAAAGCGUGCGCGAGUAAUGAGUGAAUGGGCAAAUGUCUAUAAGAUACAUUACAUAUGUAGAAUUGUGGACAGUUGGGAAUGUGAGUCUCACGGGAAGCGUGCAAGAGAUAAGUUCCUGCAGUGAUGGUUCACAAGUAGGCCACCCUUUUGAAGAAUACUUGUUUCAAAACAUGGUGAAAUUUGAAGGUUAUUUCAUGUAAAUGUCAUGCACAUUUUGUAUUGUAAUUGCUAUUUUUAUUUCUCUUCAUAAUCUGACAAUUUAUGUUGAAAUCACGAAUGUGUGAGCGGAAAUGCAGUCAACUGUGGUACAUUCUGUAGUUAAAGUUACUGAAUGCUCCUGAUAGUGAAAAUGUAGACAAGUUAACCUAUUGCUGUAAUAUUUUAAUAUUUAUACUGAUAAAGUUACACUGCCAUUCUGGCUAAGUUUAGGUUAGUCUUAGACAACACUUAUUUUAACUACGUGGAAUUCCGUGGGUAACUUUUUAGCCAUCAAAAAAGUAAAUCAGUGGUUAAUAAGUAGUUUAAACAAAUUGUUCUAGUUCAGUAAUGCAGGUUUACUUUGAAAUUUUAUUUGUAUAGACCUGUUAAAAACAGUUUUAAUUUAAGUGGAUAUAAAUGCAAAAAUAAGAUUUCUUCAGGAUAUUUUUAACAACAUGUAUUACAAAUAAUAGUGUACAGAUUGUCUUCAAAGUAGAACAAUACUUUCAGCAAUACUAUAUAGUAAAUACAUUCCCUCAAACAUUUUCAGAUACUAAGUGUAGAUGUUCACUUCUGUUAUGGACCAUUCCCCUUUCUGUUAACAGGUAUUGGGUGAGAUUUAACUUUUCUGUUGAUAAACUGUCUUUACAGUACAAAACUGCAUCUUAGCCUUCAGGUCAAAAACCUGUUUCUUUUUUUCCUUUCUUGGACCUGGAAAUGCAACUUAUUUAAAAAACUUGUCUUAUAUAUCUGCUGUAGUGACUUUUCCAGCAUAUGGUUUACCUUCAUGUAGUGUAAUGACAACCAUUUAUUUGAAAGCCAUAUUCCAAAACUAAUUUAAAUUUGGUGACCAAAUCCCCCAGCAAACCUAGAACCAUGUUCAUUAUUGGUAGUGCAGAAAUGAUGUUCACAAUUUCCCCAUGAUCGUGAGCACGCAACUGCUGUUUACACCUAAUUCAGCUAAUUUCAGGCUACUGUCAGGAGCAUCUCUAGGCUCAUUAUUUUAAUUUCAGUGCCUGACCACUGCAGCAAAAGUCCUUAUACAUUUUCUUGUUUUUGGGUUUAUCUUGGUCACAAUGGGAAAGGUUGCAGGAACUUGACUUAAUGAUUCAGUUAAAUUUAUUCAUUUAUGGUCUUUUGUCUUUCUACAUUUCUGUUACUUAGUUUCCAAUCCAUUCGAAGAGCAAAAAAAAGUCAGAAGAGCUAACAGGAUGGUUUGAUGGUAAUUUAAUUACAAAAUAGAAAUUUUGGAGAUAAAACUGACACUGUAAGGGCAUAAAAUGAGAAAUAGUGAGUGGUACCAUAGAAAGUUAUCAUGACUGGUAAAAAAAAUUGACCUUAUUGACUGUAAAGUAGUGUUUAAACUCAUAUUUAGGAGGCUCAUGAUAGUAAAUUGUACUUUGUACAACACAAUAUAUUGUACAAAAAGUAAAUUUCAUGCUAUGCAAGUAUCAAAUUUAUGAUCUUUUAUUUAGUAACCAUUGUUACCUGGAGACUAUUAUUACAAUUGCAACCUGGUUGCUAAAAUGAGUUGUAUUAAGACAACUACAGUUGUUACUGUUUCCUACAUACUCAUUUUGAUCAUAGACGUAGUUUUGUUUGAAUACAUUUCAAAAAUAUUGUAUUCUCUUGUGCUUUCUUAAUGAUUCUUAUAACGUCAUAGAACAAUUGCAGACAAAAUUUUAUAGCAUACAUCUGACAAAAAUAAAAGGCAUGCAUAAUCAUAUAGGCACGUUUAUCGAUUCUAUUUACUAAGGUAGCGUGCAUAUAUAUUUGAAUCCAAUGCUUUAUUUUGUAUUAAAAAAAGACAUUGGUCGUAUUUUUGUAGUACCAAGUAGGAGGAAUAAGAAGUCGAUACAGAGCUUUAAAUUAACGAUAGAUUUUUCCUUGCACUUACAAAAUAUUGGUUCCUCUGACCCCUGUGAGUAUUUGAUGAUAAUAAUAAUAAUAAUAAUAAUAAUAAUAAUAAAGAUUUUAUUGUCUUUAGGCCAUUACAGCAAUUGACGUCCAAUGAAGGUACAAUUUAUAAUACAGUGUGAUAAGGUAUUGACUACUGAAAUAUUUUAGCUUAUAUUACAAUAAAUGUACAGUGGGUCAUCUGUUGGAUUACUGCAUUUUACAGUUGAAGAAUUCAUUGAUAUCAUAGAAUGGGUGGGCAAUAAACCAUUCAUGCAGUCUUUCUUUGAUUGUAUGUUUAGGAAGAUCCUGUAGAACAUGUGGCAGCUUAUUAAAUAGUUUGUGCCCUGUGACUUCAUAGCUAUUUAUUGAUUUUGAUAAUCUGUGGCGAGGCGUGUAUAUGUGUUUGAUGCUUAUUGUGUUGUAACAAUAUACAUUUUCUCUACGUUUCACAUCUUGUAGUUUGUUCUUCGUAAAGAUUAAGACUUGUAUAUAUAGAGGUUUAUUACUGUCAUAAUUUUUUGUUUAGUAAAUAAGGGUUUGCAGUGAGCCCUUUGUGAAGAAUUUGUAAUUAUCCUAAUGGCUUUCUUCUGCAAUAAAAUGAUGUCAUGUAUAUGACUACAGUUACCCCACAAGAUAAUGCCAUAGGAUAUUAUACUUUGGAAAAAUGUAAAAGAAGAUAAUCUGAUGUAUG